UACAGAGGGUGCAAGCGUUGUUCGGAAUUACUGGGCGUAAAGCGCGUGUAGGCGGUUUCUUAAGUCCUGUGUGAAAGCCCUGGGCUCAACCCAGGAAGUGCGCAGGAUACUGGGUAACUGGAGUGGCGGAGAGGAUGGCGGAAUUCCCGGUGUAGAGGUGAAAUUCGUAGAUAUCGGGAGGAACACCUGUGGCGAAGGCGGCCAUCUGGACGUCAACUGACGCUGAGACGCGAAAGCGUGGGUAGCAAACAGG
rnacentral:rRNA from 1 species